GAUGAACGCUGGCGGCGUGCCUAAUACAUGCAAGUCGAGCGAACAGACGAGGAGCUUGCUCCUCUGACGUUAGCGGCGGACGGGUGAGUAACACGUGGAUAACCUACCUAUAAGACUGGGAUAACUUCGGGAAACCGGAGCUAAUACCGGAUAAUAUAUUGAACCGCAUGGUUCAAUAGUGAAAGACGGUUUUGCUGUCACUUAUAGAUGGAUCCGCGCCGCAUUAGCUAGUUGGUAAGGUAACGGCUUACCAAGGCAACGAUGCGUAGCCGACCUGAGAGGGGGAUCGGCCACACUGGAACUGAGACACGGUCCAGACUCCUACGGGAGGCAGCAGUAGGGAAUCUUACGCAAUGGGCGAAAGCAUGACGGAGCAAAGCCGCGUGAGUGAUGAAGGUCUUCGGAUCGUAAAACUCUGUUAUUAGGGAAGAACAAAUGUGUAAGUAACUAUGCACGUCUUGACGGUAACUAAUCAGAAAGCCACGGCUAACUACGUG
rnacentral:rRNA from 1 species